AUACUUACCUUAAGAUAUCAGAGGAGAUCAAGAAGUCCUACUGAUCAAACAUGCGCUUCCAAUGGUAGAAGGAUGUUAAGCAUUUAUCUCUGAAUUAUUAAUAAUUCUCUGAAAUAAUUGAUGCAAACUCCUUGGUCACUUACACAUACAUUGCGGAAGGCGUGUUUGCUGACGUUCCGUUCCCUUGUUUCAAUCAUCGAUUAUCCCUGUGGUUUCUUUGGAAAUCGCGGGGUUCAAUUGAUUUUUGAGGCCCUUUGUUUCUUCUGCCUGGAGAAGUUUGACACCAAAUUCAAAUUGGUGUUAGGGGAGUUGGGGCCUUUUAGAAGAGAGUGUUGUUGAGGUAUUCUUAUAGUGUACUUUCCUCUAGCGCACCGUUCAAUCUUUUAGAUGGCUGAUUCUCAUGGACUUUUAGUUCAUGAUGAAGGUAUAGCCGUUGGGGUUGGCCGGUCAGGACUGUAUAUUUGAGGAUGCGUUCUUUUGAGCAAUCUCGGUUUCACUCGUUGUCAUUUAUGAGAAAAAUUCUGGAAGGUCUUGGUAGGAACGGGUGGAUCUUAUAAUUUUUGAUUUAUUUU
rnacentral:snRNA from 1 species